rnacentral:rRNA from 1 species
AAUGCAGGAAACUGUGAUCCAGGUAUGUCGUGUGAGUGAUGAAGGCUUAAUUGUCGUAAAACUCUUUCAGGGAAGAAGAAAAUGACGUUAUCUACAAAAGAAGCACCGGCUAAUCCCGUGCCAGCAGCCGCGGUAAUACGGGAGGUGCAAGCGUUGUUCGGAAUAACUGGGCGUAAAGGGCGUGUAGGCGGUUAACUAAGUCUGAAAUUAAAUCCUAGGGCUCAACCCUAGACAUGUUUUAGAUACUAGUGAACUAGAGAUUGUAAGAGGUAAGUGGAAUGACUGUAGUAGAGGUGAAAUUCGUAGAUAACAGUUGGAACACCAAAGGCGAAGGCAACUUACUAGCACAAUACUGACGCUAAGACGCGAAAGCACGGGUAGCAGACAGGAUU